rnacentral:rRNA from 1 species
UGGGCAACCUGCCCUCAGCUCUGGGAUAACUCCAAGAAAUUGGGGCUAAUACCGGAUAUGACUGCUGACCGCAUGGUCUGGUGGUGGAAAGAUUUAUCGGCUAGGGAUGGGCCCGCGGUCUAUCAGCUUGUUGGUGGGGUAAUGGCUCACCAAGGCGACGACGGAUAACCGGCCUGAGAGGGCGACCGGUCACACUGGGACUGAGACACGGCCCAGACCUCCGUACGGGAG